rnacentral:lncRNA from 1 species
CCCCAGGUAGCCGGCAGCAAGUGAACUGGCCUGGAUUGGCCGGCCCAGGGCACCUCCACACACAGAGCCCCGCGGCACAAGGCAGCUGUGCAAAACGGUCUCUAGAGGGGCUGCCCUCGCCCUGGUGAAUGGGCAGGAAGGCGUGUGCAUAUGUGUGUGUGUGUAUGUGUGUUCGGGCGCGCGUUGGGGUGCAGCCGGCCGGUCGUAGGCUGCGGUGAAAGGUGGCUUGUUAUUCUGGGCACCGCAAAGGGUUUCACUUCCCCUGGGUGAGCCUUCUGGGGGUGCUGUCUUGGGCAGAGCGCCAGCCCCAGUGGUACCACUGCUGGGGAGCCCGCUGGGGUCCGAGUCCGCCCACUGUGGGGAUGUUGUCUGCUCUUGCCGUUAGCCCCGCACGUUCUCUGCAUUUCCCCUGGUCUCUCCCCUUUGAUCUGGAGGCGCUGUUUCAACGGCUGUCAGUCUCUAGAAGGGUAAAUUCGGUUCCGGUCAUUCUUCCAGUGGGCCCUUAUCCCUAAUCCUCCCUCUCCUCUCGCCUGCUCCCUCGGAGGCGAGCUCCCUGUUUGGGGCCGUCACGGCGCCGCGGCGUACUCUGCGCGCGCGCGGAGAGGCCCACUUCGGUGGCAACCUGAGCUGGGUCCAACACUACGGUGUGUGCCCCUUGGGGAACAGUCCCUAAAUCAGCGCAGGGCAGCAGGCGAUCCCAAGGAGAUGGGUUUGUCCAGGGGUUUGGCCUUCUAGAGAGGCAUGAGGCACCCGCAUCUACGUUCAGGUGAAGCUACGGAGCUCAGUCCCUACAGACAGCCGGAGCCUUGGGCUGUGUACCUGUCAUUAAAUGUUCCUGGGACUAGGAACGUGCAGAGCAAGUGUGUAUGUGUGUGUGUGUGUGUGUGUGUGUGUGUGUGUGUGUCUGGGCUAUUGAAAUAACGACCUUGCCCCGGGAAAGAUAACCCCAGCUGUCUAAGUGCCUAAGGAGGGAGACAGUGAGCCUGCCUUCUUCAGCCAUAUUGGGCAGAAAGCCUUCAUGGUAGACUAGACCCACAGGAUGGGACUAAGUGCCUUCAACCCCAAGCGGAACCCGGCACCCUCAGGCCUGGACAUCUCUCUCUGCUCUGUGAAGCUUCCAAACCGUUUACAUUCAUGAAUGCCUUCAAACUUGAAGGUCUCCCGUGGAGAGCAGCCCAGACCCGGCCACACUCAGUGAGGAGGAAGUGCGCCUCCUGCUGGCUGCACUGGUGCAGGACUAUGUGCAGAUGAAGGCCAGUGAGCUGGAGCAGGAGCAGGAGACAGAGCUCCAGUUUCAGUUCUUGCCGGAGAGUUUCCAGAUUUCUCCUCCUGAUGGCCUGUUCUGUGGAUUUUGGAUUUGCCAAGGCAGCCCUCACAAUCCGUGAAAACAUGAAAACAGAAUUUCAACUGAUUCAGCACAAAAGAUUACAAUAACCUAAUAUGAUCAUUGGAAAAGAAUGAAUCAGAAUCUUGGCUUCUAUUGAAGAACAGACAUUACCUUGUAGGUAUCCCCCGCCACAAAAAAGCCAGAAAAAAUCUGAUGACAAUAGAGAAUGACGUAAAAAAUUUUUUAAUGCUAAAGAUUGAACUGUAAAAAACUCUCCUGAAUUGUGCCCUAAACCUAUGUGUUCCAAAAAAAGUUUGAAGGCUUAUUCCAUCUGCAUCAUCUGGGUACUUGUAAAGACAUAUACAUAUCCCCAGGCUCCAUCCUAUGCCAACCAAAUCACCAGGGGUCAGGUCUGAGUAUUAAAUAUUUACCAGGAGAUUCUGACGCACAACGACUUUUGGGAAGUAGCACUCAACUGUCAGUGCUUAUGUCAUAUCCUUUCUUUCCUUCAUCUCAUUGGUCAAGGUCAGGUUUCUGCAGGAAGCUCUCUGUGUUUUUUUUUUUUUACCUGCUGGCAAAUUUCUGCGGUUCCUUUUGUUUACUAACUCCCUUAUCUUAAUAUGGCAUUUAAUCAGAGUAUGUUAGUUUAUGAAACCAUGAAAUUGGGUUUGGAAAAUAGUGGAGAAAAGUAAAACAAUAUUUAAUUUCUUCCCAUAUUGGAUCUUUAGAUCCUGCUUUGCUACAUUAGUUCAGGCAUUCUCUCACAUAGAACAACAGGCAUAUUAAUAUUCAAAUGCAAAUCUGAAUGUAACCCACAUCACUGGCAAGAAAGAUCCUAGCAUGUAGUUUCCUGGGAAGAUAUCAUAGCUCACUUGGAUUAAACAACAGCUAAGGAUUUUCCAACUGAUAAGCUUGAUAUAAUAAAGUUCCUGACCUAAUGCUUUAGGUUUAAUUAACAGUACCACUUUAGGCUUAGAACAAAGGUCUAAUCCUCAGGAUCCAAAGUUCAAAUCCCAGUUGUACUAUUAAAUGGGAUUUUAGGAAAUUUGCUUCACUUUUUCACAUCUAGAUUUUCUGAUUAGUAAAAUGAAGAUACAGUAUGUCAUACUGAAACAAUAACAAUAGCUAAUAGUCAUUAGACGCUAUGCUAAAUGGAAGGCAAGUGGGAAAACAAAAUGAAUUGUUUCUCAUCCAUUGAAGAAAUAUUGGCAAGGUGUGGUGCCUCAUGCCUGUAAUCCCAGUGC